GCGCCUAGUGGCAACACAGAUGCAACAUGGCGGCUACAAACGGCGGAUUUCCGCGCGCCGCCGCCACACUACGAAUCUGGGGGUCAGAGGUUCGAAUCCUUUCGGGCGCGCCA
rnacentral:tRNA from 1 species